AGUUGGCGGGGUAAUAGCCCACCAAGCCUAAGACGGGUAGCUGGUGUGAGAGCACGACCAGCCAGAGGGGGACUGAGACACGGCCCCCACUCCUACGGGAGGCAGCAGCUAAGAAUAUUGCACAAUGGACGAAAGUCUGAUGCAGCGACACCGCGUGAGAGAUGAAGGUUUUAGGAUUGUAAACCUCUUUUAUUAGGGAAUAGCAAGGGAGGUACCUAAUGAAUAAGCUACGGCUAACUACGUGCCAGCAGCCGCGGUAAUACGUAGGUAGCGAACGUUGUCCGGAAUCACUGGGCGUAAAGGGUCCGUAGGCGGUUUGAUAAGUCUCAUAUUAAAACUUCAAGCUUAACUUGGAGAGGUUGUGAGAUACUGUCAAACUAGAGACUGUUAGAGGUAAGUGGAAUUCCAGGUGUAGUGGUGAAGUGCGUAGAUAUCUGGAGGAACACCAGUGGCGAAAGCGACUUACUGGGACAGUUCUGACGCUAAGGGACGAAAGCGUGGGGAGCGAACCGGAUUAGAUACCCGGGUAGUCCACGCCGUAAACGAUGAUUGCUAGGUUUUCGGGGCAUCGACCCCUUGUGAGCCGAAGUUAACGCGUUAAGCAAUCCGCCUGAGUAGUACGGCCGCAAGGCUAAAACUCAAAGAAAUUGACGGGGGACCGCACAAGCAGCGGAGCGUGUGGUUUAAUUCGAUGGUAAGCGAAGAACCUUACCAGGGUUUGACAUGUAAGUAGUACUGAACCGAAAGGGAAUGGACCCGCAAGGGAGCUUACACAGGUGUUGCAUGGUUGUCGUCAGCUCGUGCCGUGAGGUGUUGGGUUAAGUCCCGCAACGAGCGCAACCCUCUUUGUUAGUUGCACUCUCUAACGAUACUGCCCUUAAAAGGGAGGAAGGUGGGGAUGAUGUCAA
rnacentral:rRNA from 1 species